GGGGGGGGGACAUUGCAUCUGGAGGAAGACCAUGGUUCUACCUGCCAACGAGCAUUACUGCUGCUGAAAUGCUGUGGCAGACACACCUGAGCUGUAUCCUUAGACGGCAAAGUCCUUCAGAGUGACAAAUAAAGAGCGCCUCAUCGCAGCUGAAGUCAUCGCUUUACUGGGGAUUCAUCGCUGGACUGUGGAUCAUCUCCUACAUCCACAGAACUUUACUUUGUCAUCAUCUGUCACAUAAGGAUUCCUCCUAAUGUGUUCCAUUAAGGUUCUUUUUCCUUCAAGGUGUUUGGGUUCAGUGUUAGGGACAGAGUUAGGGCGAGUUGGUUGAGGAAUGGGCUGGUUUCAUGAUUUAAUGCUGUAUUUUUGUAUUGGGUUGGACAUUGGACUAAAAAAUCCAAGAUGUUGUGCAAACGCUUUUUACAAUAUGUACUAAUGGUGUUUCUAUAAU